AGAGUUUGAUCAUGGCUCAGGACGAACGCUGGCGGCGUGCCUAACACAUGCAAGUCGAGCGAGAGACUUCGGUCUCUAGCGGCGGACGGGUGAGUAACACGUGGGUAACCUGCCUCAAAGAGGGGAAUAGCCUCCCGAAAGGGAGAUUAAUACCGCAUAACAUGUUUUAAUCGCAUGAUUAGAACAUCAAAGGAGCAAUCCGCUUUGAGAUGGACCCGCGGCGCAUUAGCUAGUUGGUGAGGUAACGGCUCACCAAGGCGACGAUGCGUAGCCGACCUGAGAGGGUGAUCGGCCACAUUGGAACUGAGACACGGUCCAGACUCCUACGGGAGGCAGCAGUGGGGAAUAUUGCGCAAUGGGGGAAACCCUGACGCAGCAACGCCGCGUGAAUGAUGAAGGCCUUAGGGUUGUAAAGUUCUGUCUUCUGGGACGAUAAUGACGGUACCAGAGGAGGAAGCCACGGCUAACUACGUGCCAGCAGCCGCGGUAAUACGUAGGUGGCAAGCGUUGUCCGGAUUUACUGGGCGUAAAGGAUGCGUAGGCGGACAUUUAAGUCAGAUGUGAAAUACCCGGGCUCAACUUGGGUGCUGCAUUUGAAACUGGGUGUCUAGAGUGCAGGAGAGGAAAGCGGAAUUCCUAGUGUAGCGGUGAAAUGCGUAGAGAUUAGGAAGAACACCAGUGGCGAAGGCGGCUUUCUGGACUGUAACUGACGCUGAGGCAUGAAAGCGUGGGGAGCAAACAGGAUUAGAUACCCUAGUAGUCC
rnacentral:rRNA from 1 species